rnacentral:rRNA from 1 species
GAUGAACGCUGGCGGCGUGCUUAACACAUGCAAGUCGAACGGGAUCCAAGGAGCGUUUUUCGUUUUUUGGUGAGAGUGGCGAACGGGUGAGUAACACGUGAGUAACCUGUCCUUUUCUUUGGGAUAAGCUCCUGAAAGGGUGUUUAAUACCUUAUGUUCUGUCUGCCUCGCAUGGGGUGGGUGGGAAAGAUUUUUUCGGUGAAGGGUGGGCUCGCGGUCUAUCAGCUUGUUGGUGGGGUGAUGGCUUACCAAGGCUUUGACGGGUAGCCGGCCUGAGAGGGUGGUCGGUCACAUUGGGACUGAGAUACGGCCCAGACUCCUGCGGGAGGCAGCAGUGGGGGAUAUUGCACAAUGGGCGCAAGCCUGAUGCAGCGACGCCGCGUGGGGGAAGAAGGCCUUCGGGUUGUAAACUUCUUUUGCUCUGAACCAGGCGCAUCUUUGGGGUGUGUUGAGUGUAGGGGUUGAUUAGCGCCGGCUAACUACGUG